rnacentral:lncRNA from 1 species
UGUCCGUGUCCCUCACGGCUUGGGGAAAGCAGGCAGCUGUUCUGGGAGCAGGAGGGGUGUUUCCUCUGGUUUGGCUGCUGGUUAGUCAUAAAGCCACUUCUGUAAAGUGGCUUCCCGCCGUCUGAUCGUAGAACGUCUCGAGCUGGAAGGGGCCCUGUAGAAAGGUCCAGACAAAAGCCUUGCUCCCCUUUGGGGGUAUACCUCAAAAACUGCUCAGGCUUGUUGCUCAGGAGCUGCCUCGUUGAAUGCAGUGUAGCUGCUACCAAGUUAAGAACUGCAGACCUUUAAGAAACAAAAUGCAGUCUGAGGGGAAGGGAUGGGAUUCAAGGCUAAAGUAAAUGGGAUGUCUUGAUCCCAUGCUGGGCUUGGUAAUUUAAGGUGAGGCUUUCCUGUUACAACAUUUGUUUGUGAUAAUAGGGUCAAAAAGGUAUUAUGGGGAUGGAAGGGGGAAAUAGCUAAAGGGGCCCUAUUAGAAAUAAUAAUCUAAAUUCUAAUAUUGAAAUUAUCAUUACUGAACUAAAUACUUAUUUUUCUCUAGGCCCCAAGAAAAAGUUCAGUGGGAAAACUCUACCAAAAAUUACAGAAAAUCUUGAACUCAUUGAGGAGAGCCCUUCAUGCAACCAAAGCAAUCAAGUGAAUGUCAGAGAAACAAGAGACUUGGAAAAAGAAGAAGAGGAAUCAGAAGAAAGCAAUGCAUCACUGAAGAAAUCCUCAAUGAUCAGCUUUGAAAGUAAAGAAAGUUUGCAAAAUGCAGAAAUGACUUCAAGUACAGGAAUGACUCUUCCCACAGGUGUUUCAACCUUUCUCAUUCAGUGUUUAGAUGCCGAUUCAACUGCAGAUUUUAACAAUACUAGUGACAGCCUGCAGAGUUACUCAUCCCCUGAAACAUUCAGAGAUGAUGAUUCAGAAAGAAGUCAUUUUUACUCUGUGGACCUUGGCAAGUACAAGAACUCUACUCUACUGGACUCCAGCAAAGCAGUGACCAUUGAUAAGAUAGCACAGAUCUCAAAUCUUUCAGCAAUAUUAGAACCUGUACCAAAGGAUUUUCAAGACCAGUGCAUUAGAAGAAAGAGACCAUCAAAUUGCAAUUACAGUUCUUCAGCAUUAGGCAUUUCAGCUACUCUGUCAGGUAAAAUAUGA